UCGAACGGCAGCACAGGAGAGCUUGCUCUCUGGGUGGCGAGUGGCGGACGGGUGAGGAAUACAUCGGAAUCUACUUUUUCGUGGGGGAUAACGUAGGGAAACUUACGCUAAUACCGCAUACGACCUACGGGUGAAAGCAGGGGAUCUUCGGACCUUGCGCGAUUGAAUGAGCCGAUGUCGGAUUAGCUAGUUGGCGGGGUAAAGGCCCACCAAGGCGACGAUCCGUAGCUGGUCUGAGAGGAUGAUCAGCCACACUGGAACUGAGACACGGUCCAGACUCCUACGGGAGGCAGCAGUGGGGAAUAUUGGACAAUGGGCGCAAGCCUGAUCCAGCCAUACCGCGUGGGUGAAGAAGGCCUUCGGGUUGUAAAGCCCUUUUGUUGGGAAAGAAAUCCAGCUGGCUAAUACCCGGUUGGGAUGACGGUACCCAAAGAAUAAGCACCGGCUAACUUCGUGCCAGCAGCCGCGGUAAUACGAAGGGUGCAAGCGUUACUCGGAAUUACUGGGCGUAAAGCGUGCGUAGGUGGUCGUUUAAGUCCGUUGUGAAAGCCCUGGGCUCAACCUGGGAACUGCAGUGGAUACUGGGCGACUAGAGUGUGGUAGAGGGUAGCGGAAUUCCUGGUGUAGCAGUGAAAUGCGU
rnacentral:rRNA from 1 species